UACAGAGACUGCAAGCGUUACUCGGAUUCACUGGGCGUAAAGGGAGCGCAGGCGGAAUCGUGAGUCGGAUGUGAAACCCGGGGGCUCAACUCCCGGACUGCGUCUGAAACUGCGAUUCUAGGGACUCGGAGGGGCUAGUGGAAUUCUUGGUGGAGCAGUGAAAUGCGUAGAUAUCAAGAGGAACACCAACGGCGAAGGCAGCUAGCUGGACGAGAUCCGACGCUCAGGCUCGAAAGUAUGGGGAGCAAAAAGG
rnacentral:rRNA from 1 species